GAUGAACGCUGGCGGCGUGCCUAAUACAUGCAAGUCGAGCGAACGGACGAGAAGCUUGCUUCUCUGAUGUUAGCGGCGGACGGGUGAGUAACACGUGGAUAACCUACCUAUAAGACUGGGAUAACUUCGGGAAACCGGAGCUAAUACCGGAUGAUAUUUUGAAUCGCAUGGUUCAAAAGUGAAAGACGGUCUUGCUGUCACUUAUAGAUGGAUCCGCGCUGCAUUAGCUAGUUGGUAAGGUAAAGGCUUACCAAGGCAACGAUGCAUAGCCGACCUGAGAGGGUGAUCGGCCACACUGGAACUGAGACACGGUCCAGACUCCUACGGGAGGCAGCAGUAGGGAAUCUGCCGCAAUGGGCGAAAGCCUGACGGAGCAACGCCGCGUGAGUGAUGAAGGUCUUCGGAUCGUAAAACUCUGUUAUUAGGGAAGAACAUAUGUGUAAGUAACUGUGCACAUCUUGACGGUAACUAAUCAGAAAGCCACGGCUAACUACGUG
rnacentral:rRNA from 1 species